ACCCACGGACCUGACCAUCUGACACUUGGCCUUCGUUCAUGUGUGAAGUUCUUCACCGCACUAUUAUUGGGGUCUCCAGAACUCUUUGGGUCAUUGAACUUUCAAUGACAUUUUUCUACUUGAGCAGAGGGAUCAAGGAUCUCUCCAUAUGCACCACCAGCCUCCUGAUUAUGCUCCAGGCCAUCACUGUCAGCCCCAGCACCUCCUGGUUGGCCAGAUUUAAACGCGUGUCUCCUCUGUAGGAAUCAUGCUGCUCUCAAGUGCUUAGGUGGUGCUCCUCCUGCUCAGGGAGCAGAGACGAUCCCAGCACCUUCACAGCACCAGACUCUCUUCUAACGCCUCCCCGGAGAAGAUGGCCACCCAGACCAUCCUGCUGCUACCGCUACUGCUCUGGCUGCUCUGGCUGGUUGCCAUUCUGGCGCUUUGUGGACGGGGCGGGGAGGCUGAUGCUGACCAUGGGCUGCCAGCAUGCGGAGGGCUCGCUGCCCCAUGGUCCACCUGACCGUGGACUGCGCUGAGGAUUGGUACCACAGACAGGAUCUAUCCUCCAGAACCAGCUUUUGCCUGGUUCUUCCUGGGAACGUGCUACUUUGAUGAAGUAACGAUUCAGAGAGAGAUUGUAGCGAAUUGAAUUCUGGCAGCCCUUGUCCGCAGUCCUGUACUGGGGGAAUAAGGUGGCUUUGAGCCACCCUUUGGGCUUUCUCCUCCGGAAGCUGCCUUCUCAUGUUCUGGCUGCGAGUUUUCGGCCAUUAAAUUGAGGUCAGGUGGCAUCACUCGGCCCACUUUGUACCCUGAACACCCUG